UGCAUGUGUUGGAGAAUCUUUCUGCAGCCUCCACCGGUUCCUCCGGGUAGUUUUCUUUAUUCAGCUUGGUAACGACCCACGACUCCGUCGGCACCUUGUUCGCCCCCCGCUUGGACUUCGACUGAGUAGUCGACUCCGUAGCCUGAGACGUCGCACCCUGGGCUUUUUCCUCAUUAGCUGCUCCUUCAAGGAGCAGCAGCUCCUCGGCUCCUUCAAGGAACAACUGCUCCUCGCUCAUGACAAUUUCCGAGCCCGAGGAAAAUGCCCCCGCUUCUUCUUUGACUUGUCCCUCCACAACCGGUGGCUGCUCAGGCACCUCUUCAACGCGAGCCUGAGGUUCCUAUCCAACACUUAUAAAAGUAAUUUAAAAAAAACGGAAAAAUUCGGCAUGACCUAUGCCGUAAAACAAGAAAAUUUCGGCAUGACCAUUGCUAUAAAACAACAAAUGAGUCUACUCGAAUGUUAUACGUGCAUAAAAAAAACUCCCACCCACAUAUACCCCCUCGACACGAUGGCCGGACCCUUCUCAACGACCUGGCACGAUGGCCGGGCCCACAUUCGUCAUAUCAACCGACACGAUGGUCGGGAUAACAUGCAUGUAUCAUUAAACCAUAAACAGCAAUAACAUCAAUACUUAAUCCUUAAUAGCUAGAACUAAACAUAAACAACAAUAUUUAAACGCUAACUAAACAUAAACAACAACCCUAAUUUAAAAAAAACAGCAAGAUUCAACCCUAACUAACUGUAGAACUAAACAUAAACAAAAAUAUUUACACCCUAACUAAACAUAAACAAUAAGAUUCAACCCUAAUUAACUAUAGAACUAAAUUUUUUAAACCCUAACUAAACAUAAACAACAAGAUUUUAAACCCUAACUAAACAUAAACAGCAAAAUUAAACGUAACCCUAAUUAAACCCUAAGCGUACCGGGGUCGCGACGGCGAGGGUCGUCGGGGCCGGGGCCGGGGUCAGGGUC
rnacentral:lncRNA from 1 species